UUGUUUAUAAUAAACUGAAAUAUUUAGGACUGAUCUUGAUGUCUGCCAAAACACCCUUACAUGUUUUGGCAGACAUCAAGAUCAGUCCCAAAUAUUUCAGUUUAUUAUAGACAAACAG
rnacentral:miRNA from 1 species